AUCAACAAUCUCCUCUUCUUCUGAAGCCUGAAAUAAUAACAAAUAACUUACUCAGAGGUGCCAAAGUGGAUUCAGUCUCUGCUAAAGCCAAGGCAAGUUGCAAGACAGAAUCUCUACUUGAGGUGAAAUAAGCCAACUUUUACCAGAGCAUGAGUGACUGCCAGGCAAAACACUGUGCCAAUAUUUUUAUCCAGACAGAAGCCCCAGAUGAGAAUGGACACUACAGAAAUUUUGGCUGCCAAAUUCCAUGGAAAUCUCUCUACAGGAGCCUGGAGUGCACUUGCCAACUCCCAUGCUCAUGGUAUACACAAUGAGACACCCACCAUUUCAAGACGAAGUAAAUGAGAAAAACUAAAUACAUAUAUUGUAUUCUAUCAACCAUAUCCUUUGUUUUCAUCUCCCUUGACUUUAUUUAAAACAUAGAGGAAUUCUGGGCAGUACUGGAGUGUUAAGAUGGAUUUCACACUGCACUAUCAAUAGCUUGAAUGGGUCAGGCACUCACAGUGAGAGUUUUAAAAGGAGCUGUAAAGCCUCGUGCACUUCAGUAGCAAUUUUGGCACUGAUUUCAAUACAGCCCAACACAAACCUAAGAGUUUUUUGAUGGAUGUAGUAUGUGAACAGAAGGCUACAAAUCAGAUCUGAACAGGGACUCAUCUGAACAGGAAAGGACAGUGUAAAUCUGGAAAAUCUGAAGUGUACUUUCUCAGCAAAUGUUGCCUUGUUAAGAGUUGGACUGAAUUUACAUGGCUUUCAUCCAUGGUUGAAUACCUGAGUAAGCACUGAACAAAAAAUGUUAAAAGCAAGAGAGCUUAGAUGAACAAACCUGGUAAUGCUUCUGCUCCUCACUAAAAGCAACCAGAAUCACCGAAAUGAACAGAUUCAGUACCACAAAUGUCAUAAAAACGAUGCAGGAUCCAAUUAAGAAGGAGCCUAAAAUUGGAUUGUAGUCCAAGACCUGUAUAAUCCAUAAGGUUUCUCACAGUAUUUGCUGUUGUCAGCAACUUUUACAUGGAAAGAUGGACAAAACUUGGUCUGUGUGUAGUCAGUGCUUUCCAAAAAGAGACCAAGGCAUGCUGUCCUGAUGAUCUCCUGGAGUGAAGAUCAGCCAUCAAACAGACAGGAGGUUUGGAGAAGAG